CCCCCCCCCCCCCCCCGGAACAGACAACAUACUCAUACGUGUAUCACCCAUUGUUUACACAUGUAUCAUGUAGAUUAAAUGUAUCAAUUUAUAAAAUUUAUUUAUUCAGAAUCAUAAAUGUAUAAUUUGAUUAAGAAGCAAUUGUAUAGAAGUAUAUGCUCCACUGUGGUUUAUUUUCAAUACACAAAAAUUCACAAAUGUGUUCGGGAUCGGUAUUCAAUCGGGGUCAAGGUCGAAGUGAAAGUAGACUUAGCAGAAAGUUGUCAAAAGUGUUCAGUGCAUUGUUUAGCAGUAUAUAGGUGAUGGGAAUUUGUAUGUUACACAGGAGGCAAGAGGUCCAUGCAGAUGGUGUUUAAAACUAUUGGCCAGCAAAUGCACGCCCAUUUGAAUAGAUCUUGAAACAGCACCAGCAAAGUGUGACAGUCGGCAAAAUGUAGGUUCCCGCAGACAGACGCAUUUUGCCGGAAAACGAAUCUGACAUGCCACCUCGAGAUUUUAACCAAGGAAAGACAGGUUGAUGUGCUUUGAUUUGAGGGGUCACUCACUUCUGAACGAAAAUUAGGGACAUCGCUAUGAGAAGAAACGUUAACAUUGUCGCCUAUGGGAAAACAAUUAGUGGACUGUACCCAUAUUAGGAAGCCUAUAGGUCCAUGCAGAUGGUGUUUAAAACUAUUGGCCAGCAAAUGCACGCCCAUUUGAAUAGAUCUUGAAACAGCACCAGCAAAGUGUGACAGUCGGCAAAAUGUGUAAGUUAAAGUUUUCUAAAAAAAAAAAUUCAUUGAAGUGGGGGAUGGGGUGGGGGUGAGGAAAUUUACAUAUUGAAUAGGUGAUCAGAAUGUGAAAGUAUUUAGCUAUAACUAAUCUGUACAUGCACUGCUAUAUACAUUUUGCAGCUCAUAUACAUUUUAUUUAUUUAUUUAAGAAUUUCAAAUUAAUUAGAUCUACAUCUUUGUUUUGUAAAUUAUGCAUUAUUAAGAUUACACGGAUAUAAGAAUUGAAAUUUCAUGAAUAUUUGACAGUCAAAAUUAUGCGAUUUGUCAGAAAAUUCAAAAUUUUGUCUCAUUUUCCUACAAAUUACAAAAUGGUUACCAUGGAAACAAAACAACUUUAGUGGAUUAUUUAUUUAAUCUGCAAAACCACAUAUUUUCAUUUUUUUAAAGUUAAUAAUAGUAUAUAAGCACUGAUUUUGUCUUAAAUAAAAAGUACGGGAAAAGUAAUGAUACACAUGUAUUGAGGUAUCCAUUAUUAUGAUGUCAUUGUGACGUCAUAGAUGAGUAAAUUUGCAUUGGUAUA